GCUGAAAUAGCUCAGUUGGAAGAGCAUUAGGCUAUAGAUCGAGAGAUCCCUGGUUCGAUCCCGGGAUUCGGCA
rnacentral:tRNA from 1 species